rnacentral:tRNA from 1 species
GGGGGCGUAGCUCAGUUGGUAGAGCAACGGCCUUUUAAGCCGUUGGUCGAUGGUUCGAGUCCAUCCGCCCUCACCA